GUAUUUUAUUAGGAGUUAGUUUAAUAUUGAUUCAUUGAAAGUUUAUUAUUGUUAAAAUCUUAUUUAGUAGAAAGGGGUUGCUUGCUUUAGUAGGUCUUUUAUUUUCACAAGGUAUGCAACCUCUAUUUAUUACGAUUAAUAAAAUACAAUUUGCAUAGUAUCCACCUGAAAGAUCUAAAGUCUCGGCCGCAUUUCGUGAUGCUGAAACUCAUGGGCUCAUGGUGGCUCGAACUUGGGUUUUCAGUGAUGGUUGUUAUAAACCUUUACAGUAUGCAGGUUCAUAUAAUGAACAAAUGUUUAAGGUAUUUUUCUAUUUUGACUCCUUUAUAGUUUACUUUGUAUAUCUUUAAUGUACUGAUCUGACUCGGAUCUUCUCGGUUUUGGAUUGUUUCAAAGGGAUUGGAUUUUUUAAUAGCUGAGGCCAGAAAAUAUAGAAUCAAGCUCACCCUGAGCUUAGCUAACUAUGACAGCUUUGGGGGAAAUAAAACAAUAUCCAAACUGGACAAGAAGUCAAGAAGUCAAACCCAAUACCUCACAUCUGAUGAUGAUUUCUUCAGAAAUCCUGUUGUCAAGGGAUACUAUAAGAAUCAUAUAACUACCCAUUCUCAAGAGAUGUAACAGCUUUACAGGGGAUUAUUACAAAGACGAUCCGACGAUAAUGGCAUGGGAGCUUAUGAAUGAGCCUUGAUGCACAUCAGAUUCCUUAGGAAGGACUGUUCAGGCUUGGAUAAUGGAAAUGGCUUCUCAUGUCAAAUCCAUAAACUCCUCAGCAGAAGAAACAACAUCCCAGCUUGGAUAUCGGAACAUGUUUAAUUGAAAAUAAUCUGAUUUCCGCCAUCAAUUUUGCAACGGUUAUGCCGCUCAAACGAUGAAUAUCAGUUCUUGUUUUUAAACAUCUAGCUCGAUGCUACCAUACAAGACGCACGAUUCGUCUUCCGAAAGCCGAUACUAUUCACGGAAUUCGGAGAAUCAUUUAAGGAGACCCCGGUUUCAACACUUGUAAGAGAGACCAAUUGUUCAACUCUGUCAUACUACAAGAUAUACUGAUCAGCUGAAAGAGGUGGACCAGCUGGUGGUGGUCUGUUUUGGCAACUAUUAAGUGAAGGCAUGAACUCAUUCAGGGAUGGAUUUGGGAUUGCUCCAGGUGAGAGCUUUUCAACAGCUAGUACUUGGUCGACAAGCUCACAAGCUCGACCAAAUCCGUAGGAUCUUUAUGAGAAGACGCAUUGGAAACAAAACAUUGAAACAGAGCACAUAUACGUGAGAUUUUAUACUUUGUUUUAUAAUAUAUCAAUAUCAAGUCGAAAAAAAAUUAUUAAUAGAAAAUAUA